rnacentral:rRNA from 1 species
AGUGAACGCUGGCGGUAGGCCUAACACAUGCAAGUCGAACGGCAGCACAGUAAGAGCUUGCUCUUACGGGUGGCGAGUGGCGGACGGGUGAGGAAUACAUCGGAAUCUACUUUUUCGUGGGGGAUAACGUAGGGAAACUUACGCUAAUACCGCAUACGACCUACGGGUGAAAGCAGGGGAUCUUCGGACCUUGCGCGAUUGAAUGAGCCGAUGUCGGAUUAGCUAGUUGGCGGGGUAAAGGCCCACCAAGGCGACGAUCCGUAGCUGGUCUGAGAGGAUGAUCAGCCACACUGGAACUGAGACACGGUCCAGACUCCUACGGGAGGCAGCAGUGGGGAAUAUUGGACAAUGGGCGCAAGCCUGAUCCAGCCAUACCGCGUGGGUGAAGAAGGCCUUCGGGUUGUAAAGCCCCUUCGUUGGGAAAGAAAAGCAGCAGGUUAAUACCCCGCUGUUCUGACGGUACCCAAAGAAUAAGCACCGGCUAACUUCGUG